rnacentral:rRNA from 1 species
AUUGAACGCUGGCGGAAUGCUUUACACAUGCAAGUCGAACGGUAGAGGGGGCAACCCCUCGAGAGUGGCGAACGGGUGAGUAAUAUAUCGGAACGUGCCCAGUCGUGGGGGAUAACGUAGCGAAAGUUACGCUAAUACCGCAUACGAUCUAAGGAUGAAAGCGGGGGAUCGCAAGACCUCGCGCGAUUGGAGCGGCCGAUAUCAGAUGAGGUAGUUGGGGGGGUAAAGGCCCACCAAGCCAACGAUCUGUAGCUGGUCUGAGAGGACGACCAGCCACACUGGAACUGAGACACGGUCCAGACUCCUACGGGAGGCAGCAGUGGGGAAUUUUGGACAAUGGGCGAAAGCAUGAUCCAGCCAUUCCGCGUGCAGGAUGAAGGCCCUCGGGUUGUAAACUGCUUUUGUACAGAACGAAAAGGUUUCUACUAAUACUAGGAGCUCAUGACGGUACUGUAAGAAUAAGCACCGGCUAACUACGUGCCAGCCGCCGCCGUAA